GUGAGGAAUAUUGGUCAAUGGGCGCAAGCCUGAACCAGCCAUGCCGCGUGCAGGAAGACGGUCCUAUGGAUUGUAAACUGCUUUUAUUUGGGAAUAAACCUCCUUACGUGUAGGGAGCUGAAGGUACCAAAUGAAUAAGCACCGGCUAACUCCGUGCCAGCAGCCGCGGUAAUACGGAGGGUGCAAGCGUUAUCCGGAAUCAUUGGGUGUAAAGGGUCCGCAGGCGGUCAUAUAAGUCAGUAGUGAAAGCCUACAGCUCAACUGUAGAACUGCCAUGGAUACUGUAUGACUUGAAUUCGAUCGAAGUGGGCGGAAUGUGACAUGUAGCGGUGAAAUGCUUAGAUAUGUCACAGAACACCGAUAGCGAAGGCAGCUCACUAGGUCUGGAUUGACGCUCAGGGACGAAAGCGUGGGGAGCAAACAGGAUUAGAAACCCGGGUAGUCC
rnacentral:rRNA from 1 species